rnacentral:ncRNA from 2 species
AAUUCUGACUCGGGGUGCCUGCUACAAAUCGUGGUAUGGCUGAGAUAUUACCCGUAUUACCUGAUCUGGAUUAUGCCAGCGUAGGGAAGUGUAUUAAUGAAGCG